AAUCCAGUCACAGCACCAACAGGAUGCUCUUCAAUACAGUGUAGAGGUAUACUUACUGUAGCAUUGGCUAGUGGAACUGUACAGUGGCACCUCAAGAAGCGAUGAAACAGGAGGAAGGGUCUAGUGAAAAUGAAUAAAGUUGUGCAUUCUGGGUACUAUUUCUACAUGUUAUUUCAUUGAUGAAUCCCCAUCGUCGUAGUUGAUUGUUUUGUGUUUUGUGUGCAGAUGAUUUGCUGACCCUGAAAGCCUGCCCUCCACCUAAGGAGGAGUUUGUUGACAUUUUUCAGAAAGUCAAGUACUCCUUCUGUCUGCUGGACCGCCUGAAGUCGUCCAUCACAGAGCCGUCUUCUGGGGAGCUGGUGCAUCACGUCUUUAUUCCCCUGGGCCUGAUGGUGAAGACUACUGGUGGGCCAGAGAUGGGYGCGACUGUGGUCAGUCCAGCCCUGACCAGUGGUGCUGUGUCUCUACUGCAGAAGCACCUGACCGACGACGAGAAGGAGCUCUGGACCUCCCUAGGGCUUAACUGGACCUUACACUGCUCCCAACUUGUUGAGUCUGUCCUCUCCAUACUCACCUGUUUUUCUGGAUGGAUGGCAGCCUAAGGCCUUUGACCCAGAAGGUAAACGUUGGAGGACCCAAUCAAGUCACAGCACAAACAGGAUGCUCUUCAAUACAGUGUAGAGGACCCUCCUGGUCAGGCUGAGGAAGGACCCAGCUCAGUCCAGCACACUGACGAAUCGGUCGUUUCUGAGAUCCACAAUAACUGCUGUAACGCUUUUGUUUACUGAUUCACACAGUUCACAACAUGGGCAAACACAGUUUCACCGCUGAUUAUGGGCAUCUUUAGCCUUUCACCUUUCACUAAGCUUUAUGAUGGAGUGCUUGGAUCCAAUAACUUCCUGUGUCCAUAAAACAGAGGGGUGUUUUUCAAUACACCCUCAAUAUUACAAAGAAACAACAUCGCUGUGUGGUGAGAGAUGACAGGUAACACAAAACUGAUCACACAGUUAAAUGGAGUUUCGUUAAUCUACACCCUUCUCUUCAUGUGCACAUUCCCCAUUAUGGAUUUACCAAUGUUGGAAACUCACUCCAGGCAAUGCCUUAGACCAAGCCAAUGCUUAACUCCAUGAUAGGGAGGGCAAGUGCAUGCUUGGCAGA